rnacentral:tRNA from 1 species
GGCGAGGUAGCUCAGUUGGCAGAGCAGGGGCAUCAUAAUCCUCAGGUCGUGGGUUCAAGUCCCACCCUCGCCA